AAUAUUAUAUAAUGUAAAUUACGUUUCAUUUACAGAAUUUUAUGUCAGAUCUAAUGGAAGCGUUAAUUACCGAGUUACCGUACUUAAUGACCGAGGAGUAUAUUGCGACGCAGACAAAAUAUUCUAACAAUGUAAUUGAGAUAAUGGUAGAACUUAUGGACAAUUAUGUUGAAAGGAUGUCACAAAUACUACGUACGAGAAAUGGAAUAAGAAAAGUAUAUGUUUUAGAAAAAACUUCAUUUCAUUAAUCUGUUGAGUGAUGGAAUGUUAAACUUGUAUAAAAUUAAGAAUAAAUUUUAAAUAGUGUUAUCUGUGCAAACCUGAUCCAGAGUCACAGAUUGUAUAUGGUUUUCCAUUGAAAUAUUGGAUAUAUGGAAAACGAUAUUGGGAAUAUCGGAAAGCGAUGUGGGCAUCGAUGGAAGCAGAUAUGUUGACAAAUUCGACGGACGAUACUAAUGCAAGCAAUUUUCAAAGAAAAGGUUUUCAUCAUAAGAAACAAAUAAAACCGAAAACACCAAAAAUAGCCAUAAGUUCGGAUAGUAACACGUUGUUGGAUCAACCAAGACAAAGUAACGCAAUAUUCCAAGCUAUGCAAUUUUCCGCUGUACUAUUUCUACUACUUAAGAUUUAAGAGUACUGUUACACAUAUUGUUACUUUUAAGAGGAUUAAAAAUGUUUUUCCAAUCUUUUUCUUUUUCUUUUGAUUAUACUAUUGGAAGGAAGAAGAAGCAGUCGCAUCAGCCAGUCGACAAGAAUCUCGUUGUUACUAUCGAAACGAAACAAAGAAAGACAAGAAACUGAAAAAAACGUUAAAUCCAAAUUUUCUCCAAUGGAAUUUAUUCUGGAGGUGGAAAGCGACCGUGAUGGCAAUAAUGAUCCGAUAAAUUUAAAUGGAGCAACUACGCAGAACCCAAAACAAUUUUCUGCGGAAUUGCAGGAAAGUAAAUAUAUAUUAUAUAUACAUACGUAUAUUCUUAUAUUUUAUUUUCAUAUCUGAUUUUCAUAUUUGAUUUUCAUAUUUUCCCUUUUAUUUCUUUAUCAACUGAUAUAAUCACGAGAUAAAAUUCUUACGUUAUAGAUACAAA